rnacentral:rRNA from 1 species
AUUGAACGCUGGCGGCAUGCCUUACACAUGCAAGUCGAACGGCAGCACGGGUGCUUGCACCUGGUGGCGAGUGGCGAACGGGUGAGUAAUACAUCGGAACAUGUCCUGUAGUGGGGGAUAGCCCGGCGAAAGCCGGAUUAAUACCGCAUACGAUCUACGGAUGAAAGCGGGGGACCUUCGGGCCUCGCGCUAUAGGGUUGGCCGAUGGCUGAUUAGCUAGUUGGUGGGGUAAAGGCCUACCAAGGCGACGAUCAGUAGCUGGUCUGAGAGGACGACCAGCCACACUGGGACUGAGACACGGCCCAGACUCCUACGGGAGGCAGCAGUGGGGAAUUUUGGACAAUGGGCGAAAGCCUGAUCCAGCAAUGCCGCGUGUGUGAACAAGGCCUUCGGGUUGUAAAGCACUUUUGUCCGGAAAGAAAUCCUUGGCCCUAAUACGGUCGGGGGAUGACGGUACCGGAAGAAUAAGCACCGGCUAACUACGUG